rnacentral:rRNA from 1 species
GAUGAACGCUGGCGGCGUGCCUAACACAUGCAAGUCGAACGGAAAGGCCCGGCGUUUGUGGGGUGCUCGAGUGGCGAACGGGUGAGUAUCACGUGAGUAACCUGCCCUUGACUUUCUGAUAACUUCAGGAAACUGGGGCUAAUACCCGAGUGGAGCUCCUGCUGCAUGGUGGGGGUUGGAGAGAGUCGGCGGUGGGGGCUGGACUCGCGGCUUAUCAGCUUGUUGGGGGGGUAGUGGCGUACCAAGGCUUUGACGGGUAGCCGGCCUGAGAGGGUUAACGGGCACAUUGGGACUGCGAGACGGCGCAGAAUCCUACGGGAGGCAGCAGUGGGGAAUAUUGCAGAAUGGGCGGAAGCCUGAUGCAGCAACGCCGCGUGCGGGAUGACGGCUUUCGGGUUGUAAACCGCUUUCGCCUGUGACGAAGCGUGAGUGACGGUAAUGGGUAAAGAAGCACCGGCUAACUACGUG